GGGCACAUAGCUCAGUUGGGAGAGCGUCAGACUGAAGCCAAUAGCUCAGUCCACCGUAUCUGAAGGUCGCCGGCUCGAUCCCGGCUGGGCCCA
rfam:Gaeumannomyces graminis var. tritici R3-111a-1 unplaced genomic scaffold supercont2.90, whole genome shotgun sequence.